GUGACAGAAGAGAGUGAGCACACAUGGUGUUUUCUUGCAUGAAACUACAUGGUUGAAGCUAUGUGUGCUCACUUCUCUUCCUGUCAC
rnacentral:pre_miRNA from 1 species